rnacentral:rRNA from 1 species
GUGCACGCUGGCGGUAGGCCUAACCCAUGCCAGUCGAACGGCAGCACAGUAAGAGCUUGCUCUUACGGGUGGCGAGUGGCGGACGGGUGAGGAAUACAUCGGAAUCUACUUUUUCGUGGGGGAUAACGUAGGGAAACUUACGCUAAUACCGCAUACGACCUACGGGUGAAAGCAGGGGAUCUUCGGACCUUGCGCGAUUGAAUGAGCCGAUGUCGGAUUAGCUAGUUGGCGGGGUAAAGGCCCACCAAGGCGACGAUCCGUAGCUGGUCUGAGAGGAUGAUCAGCCACACUGGAACUGAGACACGGUCCAGACUCCUACGGGAGGCAGCAGUGGGGAAUAUUGGACAAUGGGCGCAAGCCUGAUCCAGCCAUACCGCGUGGGUGAAGAAGGCCUUCGGGUUGUAAAGCCCUUUUGUUGGGAAAGAAAAGCAGCAGGUUAAUACCCCGCUGUUCUGACGGUACCCAAAGAAUAAGCACCGGCUAACUUCGUG